GUUAUUUUAUCAUUGUGGACAUACAGUAAAGAAAAUAACAAACAGACAUACAAAUGGGUCUAUAAUUCUUGCAGUAUUCUUUGUUUUUUCCUUCUUUGGGUAAGAUUGUUAUAAUAGCUUCUCCCCAUGAUGGUGGAGCUAUUCCCUGAUUCAGAGUCCAGUUGAAGCAAGAUAGAAGAAGUGGCUUGAGUUCUUCUUUGAAAACUUUGUAACUUUGUAGGUGUGAUCACAUUGAUGCCACAAUGGACGACUGAUCAAUGCUCCACUACCUUUUUUUUUUUUUUUUUACUUUGAUUUUUAUUAGGUUAUUUUAUCAUUGUGGACAUACAGUAAAGAAAAUAACAAACAGACAUACAUAUAAACAAACAGAGUCUGGAGUUUACAUAUCUUU
ensembl:lncRNA